UACGGGGGGGGCAAGCGUUGUUCGGAAUUACUGGGCGUAAAGGGUUUGUAGGUGGCUUGUUAAGUCAGACGUGAAAUCCCCAGGCUCAACCUGGGAACUGCGUCUGAUACUGGAUGGCUUGAAUCCGGGAGAGGGAUGCAGAAUUCCAGGUGUAGCGGUGAAAUGCGUAGAUAUCUGGAGGAAUACCGGUGGCGAAGGCGGCAUCCUGGACCGGCAUUGACGCUGAGGAGCGAAAGCUAGGGGAGCAAACGGG
rnacentral:rRNA from 1 species